rnacentral:rRNA from 1 species
AACGAACACUGGCGGCGUGGUUUAGGCAUGCAAGUCGAACGAGAAAGUUCCCUUCGGGGAACGAGUACAGUGGCGAACGGGUGAGUAACGCGUGGGAAACCUGCCCUUCAACGGGGGAUAACAGUUCUAACGAGCUGCUAAUACCGCAUACGACCUGAAGACCGCAUGGUUUGCAGGUGAAAGGUGGCCUCUCUCUGAAGCUGCCGAUGAAGGAUGGUCCCGCGUCCCAUUAGCUAGUUGGUGAGGUAACGGCUCACCAAGGCGACGAUGGGUAGCCGGCCUGAGAGGGUGUCCGGCCACACUGGGACUGAGAUACGGCCCAGACUCCUACGGGAGGCAG